rnacentral:rRNA from 1 species
UCGGAAAUCCGCCGUAGAGUACAAGGGCAGAAGGGUGCCUGACUGUGAGGCAGACAUGCCGAGCAGAGGCGAAAGCCGGGCCUAGUGACCCACCGGUUCUUCGGGGAAGGGCCGGUGAUCAGCGGAUAAAAGCUACUCCGGGGAUAACAGGCUAAUCUCCCCCGAGAGCCCACAUCGACGGGGAGGUUUGGUACCUCGAUGUCGGCUCCCCCCAUCCUGGGGCUGAAGCAGGUCCCAAGGGUUGGGCUGUUCGCCCAUUAAAGGGGGACGCGAGCUGGGUUCAGAACGUCGCGAGACAGUUCGGUCCCUAUCCGCCGCGGGCGCAGGAGUCUUGAGAGGGUCCGUCCUUAGUACGAGAGGACCGGGACGGGGCAGGCACUGGUGUACCGGUUAUCUCUCCAGAGGUAGCGCCGGGUAGCCAUCCUGCUACGGGAUAAGCACUGAAAGCAUCUAAGUGCGAAGCCCACCUCAAGAUAAGGACUCCCUGAAGGGCCGUGGAAGACUACCACGUUGAUAGGCAGCAGGUGGAAGCUCCGUGAGGGGUGUAGCCAAGCUGUACUAAUAGCCCGUUCGGUUUGCACUCCC